AGGACCGUGAGUUAGGAAAAAUAUCAGAGUUUAGAAACACCGGAUUUUAUUUAAAAUGAUGGAAUAAAUUCCAUGUUUUACAAAGGUAGCUUUUAAUAAAAAUAAUAUUUCUUAAUUUGAAAAUAAGCCACUUCUUGAAGUCCUUUAGUGUCGGAUCCAAUCCUUGCUCCAAUCUAUUGUAAUUACCUGAAACGCGUUUUAAAAAGAUUUUGUCAGCGGGAAAUACUGAGUGAAUUAUUCUAGUUUCUGAAAAUGACACAUUUAUUAUAAUUCACAGUGAUAAGAUCUUUUACAAUGUAUCCUGAUAUCAACCAACUACCCACAUCUAAAUACUAUCAGAUGUGCUACCAGUUAAGUUAAUAGCAAUUUCCUAACUCUUAUAUUUAAGCUUAAGUAUUGUUAUCACAACACUUAUAGGCUUAAAGUAGUGGCUUAGCUCUGAUACCACCUUCUGUCACGACCCCCGACCCCAUCUAGCCGGAAUCGGUGCCGUGAGCAGUCCAGUGGUACCGGUGAUUAUUUUAAAAACAUUGCAGCGGAAAUUUCAUCAGGACCGUGAGUUAGGAAAAAUAUCAGAGU
rnacentral:lncRNA from 1 species